ensembl:lncRNA novel transcript
GAUUCCCCCUCUCAUAUCUUCUACCCUCCAGGCCAAUCUAUAUGUGUCCUCUGCAGAAUGGAAAGAUUUAAAAACAGCUACUCCAUCUUGCUGUACAACCUUAGCCAAGGCAUGUAACCUCUGUCUCUGUUCCCUUGCCCAUGUGAAAUUGUUGUAAGGAUAAUGAUAAAGAAGAGGAAGUCAACAGUGGCUAACAUUUAUCCCUUGCUCACAAUGAACCAGACACCAAGCUAUGUGACUUUACCUGAAUGGUCUCAAUCAGUCUUCACACAAGCCUGCAAGAUGUGACUUGCUCCUUCUUGCCUUCCGCCAUGAUUGUGAGGCCUCCCCAGCCAUGUGGAACUGUCAGUCAAUUAAACCUCUUUCCUUUAUAAUCACCCAGUCUCAGGCAUCUUAAUAACCUCUAAGUUGCACCCAGGAGAGUUGGUGCAGAAAAGGAAUUCUGGCCAACCUAAUUUGUAUUUGAAAAUACCCCAUAGGCCAACGGAACAAGAUUCAGAUGAAUUUCACAGGCAGCUGAGGGCUACACAAGGAAAAUAAUGAUGUGAACUCAUACUUAUCAGCUAUCUGAUACCCUGAGCCAGACCCCGGUGUAUUCCUCACAACACCCCAAAAGUUCUGGAGAUGAGAAGUCCAAAAUGAGUCUUAAGAGGAUAAAAUCAAAGUAUUGACAGGGCUAGUUCCUUCUGAAGGUUCCAUGGCAGAAUCCAUUCCUUGCCUCUUCCAGAUUCUAGAAGCUGCAGGCAUUUCUGAGCUUGGACUGCAUCAUUC